rnacentral:rRNA from 1 species
ACGGGUGAGUAAUGCCUAGGAAUCUGCCUGGUAGUGGGGGACAACGUUUCGAAAGGAACGCUAAUACCGCAUACGUCCUACGGGAGAAAGCAGGGGACCUUCGGGCCUUGCGCUAUCAGAUGAGCCUAGGUCGGAUUAGCUAGUUGGUGAGGUAAUGGCUCACCAAGGCGACGAUCCGUAACUGGUCUGAGAGGAUGAUCAGUCACACUGGAACUGAGACACGGUCCAGACUCCUACGGGAGGCAGCAGUGGGGAAUAUUGGACAAUGGGCGAAAGCCUGAUCCAGCCAUGCCGCGUGUGUGAAGAAGGUCUUCGGAUUGUAAAGCACUUUAAGUUGGGAGGAAGGAUUGUAGAUUAAUACUCUGCAAUUUUGACGUUACCGACAGAAUAAGCACCGGCUAACUCUGUGCCAGCAGCCGCGGUAAUACAGAGGGUGCAAGCGUUAAUCGGAAUUACUGGGCGUAAAGCGCGCGUAGGUGGUUCGUUAAGUUGGAUGUGAAAUCCCCGGGCUCAACCUGGGAACUGCAUCCAAAACUGGCGAGCUAGAGUAUGGUAGAGGGUGGUGGAAUUUCCUGUGUAGCGGUG